rnacentral:rRNA from 1 species
GGAGCUCUCCCAUAUGGUCGACCUGCAGGCGGCCGCGAAUUCACUAGUGAUUGUUUGAUCCUGGCUCAGAUUGAACGCUGGCGGCAGGCUUAACACAUGCAAGUCGAACGGUAACAGAGAAUAGCUUGCUAUUCUGCUGACGAGUGGCGGACGGGUGAGUAAUGCUUGGGAAUUUGCCGAAAGGUGGGGGACAACAGUUGGAAACGACUGCUAAUACCGCAUAAUGUCUACGGACCAAAGGUGGCCUCUAUUUAUAUGCUAUCGCCUUUCGAUGAGCCCAAGUGGGAUUAGCUAGUUGGUAAGGUAAUGGCUUACCAAGGCGACGAUCCCUAGCUGGUCUUAGAGGAUGACCAGCCACACUGGAACUGAGACACGGUCCAGACUCCUACGGGAGGCAGCAGUGGGGAAUAUUGCACAAUGGGGGAAACCCUGAUGCAGCCAUGCCGCGUGUGUGAAGAAGGCUUUCGGGUUGUAAAGCACUUUCAGCGAGGAGGAAAGGGUAAUGGCUAAUAUCCAUUAUCUGUGACGUUACUCGCAGAAGAAGCACCGGCUAACUCCGUGCCAGCAGCCGCGGUAAUACGGAGGGUGCAAGCGUUAAUCGGAAUUACUGGGCGUAAAGCGCGCGUAGGUGGUUAAUUAAGUCAGAUGUGAAAGCCCAGGGCUCAACCUUGGAACUGCAUUUGAAACUGGUUGACUAGAGUUUUGUAGAGGGUGGUAGAAUUUCAGGUGUAGCGGUGAAAUGCGUAGAGAUCUGAAGGAAUACCAGUGGCGAAGGCGGCCACCUGGACAGAGACUGACACUGAGGCGCGAAGGCGUGGGGAGCAAACGGGAUUAGAUACCCCGGUAGUCCACGCAGUAAACGAUGUCUAUUAGAAGUUUGUGGCUAUAUGCCGUGGUUUCAAAGCUAACGCAUUAAAUAGACCG